CCCUUAGAUGUUCUGGGCUGCAUGCGCGCUACACUGAAGCUAUCAACACGUUUUCCCUCCCUGAGAAGGGCGGGUAACCUUUUGAAUCAGCUUCGUGGUAGGGAUCGGGGCUUGCAAUUGUUCCCCGUGAACCAGGAAUUCCUAGUAGACGCGAGUCAUAAGCUCGCAUCGAUUAAGUCCCUGCCCUUUGUACACACCGCCCGUCGCUACUACCGAUUGAACGUUUUAGUGAGGCAUUUGGACCGACGCAUCUCAGUUUAACCGCUGGUUUGUGUUGGAAAGACUUCCAAACUUGAGCGUUUAGAGAAAGUAAAAGUCGUAACA
rnacentral:rRNA from 1 species